rnacentral:rRNA from 1 species
CCUACGGGAGGCAGCAGUGAGGAAUAUUGGUCAAUGGCCGGGAGGCUGAACCAGCCAAGUCGCGUGAGGGAAGAAGGCGCCACGGGUUGUAAACCUCUUUUGUCGGGGAGCAAAACGAGUCACGUGUGACUCAUUGAGGGUACCCGAAGAAAAAGCAUCGGCUAACUCCGUGCCAGCAGCCGCGGUAAUACGGAGGAUGCGAGCGUUAUCCGGAUUUAUUGGGUUUAAAGGGUGCGUAGGCGGAGUGGCAAGUCAGCGGUCAAAUUGCGGGGCUCAACCCCGGACUGCCGUUGAAACUGCAUGCCUUGAGUGCGCGAGAAGUAUGCGGAAUGCGUGGUGUAGCGGUGAAAUGCAUAGAUAUCACGCAGAACUCCGAUUGCGAAGGCAGCAUACCGGCGGCCAACUGACGCUGAUGCACGAAAGCGUGGGUAUCGAACAGGAUUAGAUACCCUGGUAGUC